UUUAUGUAUGAAAAGAAGAGGAAUUUGACGAUAUACGAGCUUUUUAUGAAGAAAAGGUUUGAGAUUAUAAGGAUUAUAGAUUAUAUUUAUAUUACGUUAAUCAUAACUUGAACGAAAUAUCGUUUCAAACAUCCGUGAAGGAUGGAAUUUUCUCAGAUCUUCGAUUUAAGAAUUAUUUACUGCAAUGGCUAUUCAUUUCACAAGGAAGCGAGCGCAAAGAUGUUGGCCAAUGAUGGGGAAAAUUUAAUAGUCCAAGUUACUUCGAUAAGUUACUUCGAUAAUUUACUAUUCAAAACAUAAUAAUAUUCGCGAAUAAUUGUACUGUCAAACGAAUAAAUGAUUAUUCGAGCAUUUUAAUAAGUGAUUACUUGAAAUAAUUUUAUUCAAAAUUUUUAACCAAUUAUUUUUUCAACGUGUUAAUCCCCAACUUUAAUCUUGAUCUUCACGCGAUUCUCUAGAAUUGGAAAUUAAUUCUAAAUUGAAAAAAUAAAAAAUUUCGAAUAAAAUUACUUCAAGUACUAUAAUUAUUAUUAUGUUUUGAAUGAUAAGGUAACUUCAACUAUUAAAUUUUCCCCAUCACUGCCCUCGAAUGGAAUUAUUGGUCCCCUUUUAAGUUUGCAUUUUCGGAUUGGAGGAAAAAUCAAAGGGACAGUCUUCUAGAUCGGAUCAGAAAUAAAAUGGAAUUCAGCAACGACAUACAGAUUACGUUACAGAGUCGUCAAUCAAAGUCAAUUAAAAGAAGAAAAUCUGCUCCUGUGGAAAAUUCGCGGAUACAAGCAUUAUACGAGCAUUCGAGAGUUCGAGAUUCAGGAAUGAAUGAAAUUGAAUUAAAAAAAAAAAAAAAAAAAAGGAAAGAAAGGAGAGGAAAAAUUUUUAACUUUAUCCGAAAAAAAUAAUCGAGGAUAAAUGGGAUGCGACUUGGAAAAUUACAGCCUAAUUACGUUUUAAGAGGAUGAUACGAUUUCACGUUACGCGUUAAUUGUUUAACAACCUUAGUUCGAGAAUUAUACAUACGUAACUAAAAUUUCAACGAUUACGAUAUUAGCGGUUGUUUGCUUUUCAUUUGCACACACCGUUUGCGUUUUACACGGUUUAAGCUUCGAUACGGAAACUGUUAUACCUAAUUAGCCACCGUAUACUUUUUAUUAACGCCCAUCCAAUGAAAUCCAGUUCCAAGCAGGACUUUACAGCUGUUUCGUUUGCGCGGUUUUAUUCGUAAUUUCAGUUGGAAAGAAGGAAUUGCGAGUAUGAUCGCUUUAAUCUUUGAAGGAAACGCCUAUUUUCGAUGCGUUAAACGUAGAAUCCAAGAACGUUUUAUUUCUCAUUCGAUAUAAGGUUAAUUCGACGAUAAUUUAAUUUAAUUUAAUGUGAUUUUAAUAUUCGAAAUAAUCUUUAAAUAUUUUCCAAUAUACUUGUUUCAGCUACUUCUGUGCAGAAUUAUCCGAGAUCGAAACUUCGCUCCAUCCAAUUUCGAAAGAUCGAUAAUUCUCCUUUGUUCGAUACGUUAUUGUAUCAUAUUCCUCCCUCAUUUGACGAAUAUCGAGGACGACAGAGGGAAGGAAAAUGCGAGCGGCGUAUUACAAAACUUUGCUUGUAAUUCGUACGUGUAAAAGUAAUUAGUAGUAGAAACGACAAUUGGGGAAACGCUCCACUCCUUUGCAUAAGUAGCGUAACGCGAUUAUCGCGGGGCAAUCGUUUCUGGACCGCGAUACCGUUAUUUAUACCAGUAAAAACCUCGACCCUCCUCGUGGAUAUUAGUUCGAGGUAAAAACGCCCGCCACCAGAAUCCUGUUGUUUUUAAACGAGUUUACGCUUGGAAAUACCUACUUAACCGUAUUCGCAUAAUCUCGGGUGGGAGGGGUAAGAACGGAUUGAACCUGAGUCGGUUUCGUUGUAAAAAUGUAAUGAAGCCACUGGGUAAAAAUUUAAAUAGGAAGAGAGAGAGCACGAGAUCAGAGAUCACUGUACUCUGCUUUAACUUCCGAUAAGAAGGAGAAAAGGUUCGAAGCAAUCGCUCACUUAUUCCCCGGCAAUCGUACACCUGUAAAUGAACACCCACUAUCGCUAAACCAAUCGUUGUUUGACCAAUUUUACGAGACCCUUCCUACUCCACCUGGAGAAAUCGAUUACCGAUCGUUUUUCUCGGUUUUCUUCUAAUUCUAAAAAAAAAAGAAAAAAAAAUAAAAAAACGAAGAACCGGACACUUUUCCACAAGCCUCACCGACCUUUACUCGAGGGAAAUCGUACUGGAUACCGAGAAUUGGAGAAUCAACUUUUAGAAAGGAUACCGGUGCGGUAAGUUUCGGAUUUCUCCUCGAAAUUCUCCUCGAGACGAGAAGCGAGUUCGAUUGUUUUACUUUACCGCGUAAUUGCCACGCUUCGCCGCUGUGUAAUCUCUUAACCGAAGCCAAUUAACGAUGAACAAACGAUUAUCGAACUUAUUAUCCGAAUUAUCUCAAAUUUAUAUAUCGGAUAAUGGUAAUUAGUUUCAGGAAUUAUUUAACGGGUAAUGCUUUUUUUUUACUUCUGUGCCGAAAAUUAUAUCGUCGAAAGAUCGAGAGAGAGAAACGGUGAAAGGAGGUGGACGAUUGGUAAUGAAAACCAAGAGGAAGCCAGCCCUUACCGUUUGAACACCAAUUUGCAUAUUCUAUUGACCUUCUCGUGGUUCGCUGGUUCUGUUAUUGGCGUAACUUUACCUUUCAAACCGCUCCUAAUAUCAUAGCUAUUCUGCCCAACUUCCACUCUUGAACGUUAUCCCGAUAGGCGGGCGCGAGUGUCCCUCUACAAGUUAACGUACGCUUACAUACACGCGUCUCACCCUCCGCACUGCUCUUUAUUACGUUCAACCUCGAUUAUCGGAAUACCGUUUAACCGAACGCUCUAUUAUCCAAACAUCGACGUUCAACAUCGACGAAAGUUGGCGAAAGAUGGCCCACCUAUCGUACGAAUUAUAUUAACGCCAAUAAUCACGUGAUAAUUUUUUUUUCUACGUCACUCACGGUGACGCGAUUCGUCGAUAAUUCGUUUAUUUUGAAUUUCCAGCGGGUAACUCGAUCACUCGGUCGUUAAAUUUUAACUGUUGCGAAGGCGAGAAUUUCCGCUUUCCCCUUUCCUCUGUACACACCAGUUUAAGGUAUUGUUACAAUCAAGCCGGAUUCAAGCUGAUCCUCCCUAUAACGCAAGAAAUUUCAGCUUAGAUUGAAUCGAGUAUAAAUGAAUACCGGUGCGAUUACACGAGCGCGAUGUAAUCAGGGGACAGUUUGGGAAAGUUUAGAUUAGUCAUCUCUGUUCUCACGAUUAUUACAAGUAUACGCUUCUCUCUUAUCCUUGGCUUGGCGAAGAAAUAUCAAAUUGUCUCGUGUUUUUCAUCAACGUAUAGAAGAAGCGUCUACGUUUGACAUUUGGAAAAAUGUAUAUAAUAUAUAUUAAAGGAAAUUAUGUAAUUAUGUACAGGUUAAAUCAUUUUCCUGUUACGAAACUGUUUAACCUACUAACGUAAUAUUUGCUAUCUGUAUAACCGAUAGGGCAGUGUUAUGCAAUACAUAUAUCAACUUUGGAAAAGAAGCACGGCAAAAAUUGAGGCCGCUAGUGUGCAAUGAAUAUAUAAUAGUACAUUGAAGAAAUAAUGAUUCUGAUAAGCAUCAAAGAUAAGAUAAAAUAGAACGUUAAUAAUUAUUCUAUUAUUCUCGUGAGAGUUAUUAAUAAUUAAUCCUGUUAUAAAUAAAAUGCAUUAUUAUAAUACGUGUAUAUUUACAAAUAGUGUGUUAAUACGAAAGUGGUUUGUCGACAAGAACAAAAAAUACCUAAUGAAAUGUCCAGGAGAAAGUUACUCUCGAUACACUUCGUUGGUUACGAAAGAAAAUUCAAAGAUAUUUUAUUCAAUUCCAUACGUGUGUUUAUAAUGAUUCCCUAAUAUCGAUGAUAUUUUUCAUAACAAAUAUUUUAAAAUAAAUUAUUGGCUAUAAAAUUCGUUUCACAUUCGUUCUUGAAUAAUAACAAAAGUGGGGAGACGUUAAAAGAAAAAAAAUGUAAAAAUGAAUAAAGUAAAAUACAAUUUAUUAUUCAUGAAUAUUCAAAUGUCUAAAUGCACGCAUAAUUACAUGCGAAAUAAGGAUGUCAUAAAUAAUUUCUUGUCGUUGUUGCGUCGAUUUUCGAUUAUAAAAAAUUUAAUUAAUUUAAUUUCCAUCUUUAUAUUAUAUUUAAUUCCGAUAAAUGCUAAAUGCUAAUACGCUACCAAUUUCGUCGCUUAUAUAUUUUAAAAUAAUCUCCUUAAUUAUAGCGAUCAUUUGUUGCAGAUUCUCUCAUCGGCCUUUUCGUUCUAUCGUCUAUAACAAAUUUCUCUAAUCUUAAUUCUUAAUCGUAUUAUUCCUCUUUUUAUCAUGUUUUUAUUAUCUCGAGAUUAAUUUAAAUUUUAUAUCACACAUAUAAAGUAGAGAUGAAUGAAAAUAUCAUACAUGCAUAUAUAUAUAUA